UCUUUUCUUUUGAUCGAUAGUAAAGUAUCCUCGGACCAGAUUGUCAUGAUUACAUAGUUACCAUUCAUCACAUACGACAUCGUCGAAUGCAAUUUGACUUUGUUCUUCUUCUUAUCUUGCUUAUAAAGUUGUAAUUACAGUAACGGGUUUUUUCUUGCAGAUGCUCUCGUGCAGUUGCAAUGUGGAGGAAAUGUGGUUUCUACGUCAACCACCAAUGGAUCUGGGAUGUUUUCUAUCUUGUUGGAUCCUCUAAAUUAUAUUCUUUCCUCGGUAUUGAGCGACUGCAACCUGAAGGUCGAUACACCGCUGAUCAGCUGCAACUCCAGUCUCCCUGCUGUGGGUGGCCUCCUAUCACCCUUACAGUUCAUCGGGAACACUGCUCUAGGAGCCCUCCUGAGUGUUGCAAACAUCAUCCCUGCCGGAUUCCGAUUCGUGCCUUUAAAUUAAGGAGACCACUGUAGCUGAAGGCGGCAUUAUUAUUAUUAUUAGUAUGGCCAUUGCUAUGUACUACUUUAUAUGAAUAAGGCUGUUGUAUUAUACGUGUGUACUGUUUAUUGUUUUUUCUUGCUUCCCAAGGAAUAAAGGUCAUGAUUGGCUAUGCAUUAUAUAUAUAUUUUUAUCCAAAUGACUUUUAAUUUUUUAAUUUAUUAUUUAUGGAUAUUUUGAAAGUUGUAGAAUAUAUAUAAGAAACAUAAAUUAAUAUUUAAAAUUACUUUAUCACCAAUAAUAAAUGGAAUAAAAAUAAAAUUCAUAAUAUAAUUAAAAAUUUAGUUAAACUUGCACUAAUGCAAAUAAAUCAAAAUACAAUAAAAAGAUAGAAUUAUGGUGCUUGUUGUGGAGACGAACCAUGAUACUGUGGAUCAACAUAAGAUGAAUUAUGAUAUGAUGGUCGAGGUGUAGGUCAAUAUUGUAAGAGUCUGAAGUGUACAACUCGAUUAAUGUUAAAAGAUCCCAAUAUAUCAUCUUAUUUGAGGGUAAUUUUUUUGUUUUCAUUUCCAAAAAUUUGACAGAGUUUCAUUUGUAUUUUGGACAUCUCAAGUUAUCGACUACUAUCAAUUUACUCAAUCAACCCAUCAUCACAAGGUCCCAUAAUUUUGGACCUUAUAUCAAACCUCAUAAUUCCACACCUCAUACAAUCCACACACAAUAUAUAUAUAUAUAUCUUACGAGUAAGUUCAAUAUGAACAUAGUCCAACACAUCAUAUCAUAAAAUUUAAAAGAAAAGGAAUAAUAACAUGCAAAGAAAGCAUUUACAAUAUAAGAAGUGUUCUUAAAUAUUUCAAAAGGGUUAAUUACAAGAUAACUAAAAUACUACAUGCUCAGCUGAACCUUUGUAAAUAUAUCAAGAUUUACACAAACGUAUACUACAUAAACAUGUUAAUUCCCUUUUAUUUUAAGUUAAAUAUUUACAUAAGCUUCACAAAGUAGAGUCCUAAACUAAUGAUCUUCCUGGAUAUUUGAUGAACCUGUUACAUAAAUAAACAUACCAUUAUGUUGAUAAAGAAUAUAUAUAUAUGCUCAUGUAAUGAAUACAAAUGAAGUAUUAACUUUCUAUUGGAUCCAUAAGAAUAUUAACAGAGAACUUAUAUUUUGCUUGUAAGUCUUUUAAACCCAAUUAACACUCAUUUAUAUACUCUUAAUUUCAAUACUCUAAUUUACUUGCAUGAACUGCAUCACCUUGCAAAGUUUAAUCUUGUAAUUCAUUUCCCGACAAUCCUAUCAUGGAUGCCAUUAGCCGAAGCUAAUCUUGUAAAUCAUCUCCCGGCAAUCCUAUCACGGAUGCCAUUAGCCGAAGCUAAUCUUGUAUUUACGCUAGACUUUAUUUACAUUGAACACAACAUUUAUUGUAAUUGCAUUCACCAGAAGAAUUUUAAAUUGUAUAAGUGCAAAUAAGAGGAAAAUCACGCACCUCCUUUGCUUGUCUCGCGACCUCCCCUAACAGAAGAUCCAAUCCUGGUUGCUCCUCCUGAAUCAUAAUGAAGUUUUUAGUUAUGAUUCCUUCAAGUCGAUAUUAUAGAGAAUCUAUAUUCAUCCAUUACUCAUAUGUUACUUUCUAUGCAUGUUCAUUUUCUCAUAAUAUCAUACAUACAUAUAUCAUGUACAUUUUAAGAGUUAGUAUCUCAAUGUGCAAGUGUUCGUAUGACACAAUUCUUUUAUAUUCUUAUAUAUAGUAUUCACGUGAAAGUGUAUUAUUACUGUCUAACUUUAAACUGUUACUGUCCAAUUUUGAAAUGUUACUGUCCAAUUUUUAACCGUUACUUUCCAAUCGUUACUGUCUAAUUUUGAACUGUUACUGUCCAAACACUCACCAGAUUUUUAACUAUAUCUAAAGUUCUAAAACUUCAUUUUAAGUGACAUUAAUCUCGUUAUAAAGCUAAGACACGAGGCUACAAGUUUUAUGAAGGGAGGAGAGCCUAGUUUUGCCUCUAAGAUAGUCAAAAUUGCUCAUAAAAUAGUUAGUCCUACUGCCCUACAUAAUCAGUCACGACUCAGUCUCAGUUGGUAACCCAUAACUGGAGUUCUACAUCUCCAAGUUGAGCAAGACCAGUUUCCUUGGUUAGCUCACAUUCAAAUCUACAAUUUCUAUGAGAAACCCGAUCCUAAUCCCCUCAUUCUCCUACCCAAAAUCUCAUCGAAAGUUAGGAGACAAGUCUGUCAUUUUUAUUGGUAGGAAAAGGACAGAUUUAGUUAGUCGAUCCACAAUGACCAAGAUUGCAUCAUUUCCCCUCUUUGCUUUGGGUAGUCUCGACACAAAGUCCGUUGUGAUCAUCUCCCACUUCCACUCAGGGAUUGGUAAUGGUUGUAACAGCCCUGCCGGUUUUCGGUGUUCUACUUUUACUUGUUGGCAAAUACUACAUUUUGCCACGUAACUAGCCACUUCUUUUCUCAUAUUUGGCCACUAGUAGUACUGCUUCAUAUCCUUGUAAAUCUUAGUACUACCUGGAUGUACAGUGAACUUAGACUCAUGAGCUUCUCGUAGUAACUUUUGUUUAAGGGCUUUGUUGUCCGGCACAUACAUACGUCCCCCUAACAUCAUUAUUUUAUGAUCACCCAUUCAAAAAAGAGUUUCACAUCCCGAUUCCAGUUUGAUUCUCACUUUUGACACCUCAUCAUCAUGUUGUUGUGCCUUUAAUAUUUUCUCUUGAUAUCCUGACUUCACCCUUAGUUGAGCCAUUAAGGAUCCUUCCAGACUCACAUCUAAUAUUGUCCCCAACCUCUUUAGCUCAAUCAUAGUUUCCUCAUUCCAAGUCGUUGGUCCACCCCUAAUCACCUUGUCUUUACGGCUGAGAGCAUCCGCGACUACAUUCGCUUUUCCUGGAUGGUAAUCUAUAUUAUAGUCAUAGUCUUUAAUUAAUUCUACCCAUCUCCGUUGUCGCAUAUUCAACUCCUUCUACGACAUCAGAUAUUUAAGGCUCUUAUGAUCCGUGAAAAUUUAGACUUGGGAUCCGUAUAAGUAAUGCCUCCAUACUCGUAAAGCAAAAACUACUGCUGCCAAUUCUAUGUCAUAAACUGGGUAAUUGACUUCAUGAGUCUUCAGUUGUCUCGAUGCAUAGGCAACUACUUUUCCAUGCUGCAUUAGAACACAACCUAGUCCUUUUCUUGAGGCAUCACUGUAGACUACAAAGCCUUCUGUUCCGGAUGGAAGGAUUAGCACGAGGGUAGUACUAAGCCUUCUCUUCAAUUCUUGAAAGCUCUCAUCGCACUCCUUUGACCACUCCCAUCUUAUGUUCUUCUUGGUGAGUUGUGUUAAUGGAGUUGCUAUCGUUGAAAACCCUUCGAUAAAUCUUCUAUAAUACCCUGCCAAUCCGAGAAAACUACAAAUUUCAGUUACCUUAGUAGGCCUUUCCCAUCUCAAAAUUGCUUCCACCUUUUGAGGGCCCACAAAAAUGCCUUUUGAAGACACUACAUGCCCCAAAAAGGUAACUUAUUUUAACCAGAAGUCACAUUUAUCCAACUUGGUAUACAACUAGCGGCUCCUCAGAGUCUGUAGUGUCUGUCUCAGGUGCUGUUCAUGCUUCUCAUAGGAUUUGGAGUAAAUCAAGAUGUCAUCGAUAUGAAUACAACAACAAACUUAUCAAGGUAUGGUUGGAAUACUCGGUUAAUUAAAUCCAUAAAAACUGCUCGAGCAUUAGUUAAUCCAAAGGGUAGCACCAAGAACCCAAAGUGAGUUCUGAAGGCAGUUUUUGGCACAUCUUGCCCCUUGAUUUGUAUUUGGUAGUAUCCUAAUCUUAAAUCUAUAUUUGAGAAUACUUUGGCACCCUCAACUGAUUGAAUAAAUCAUCUAUCCGCAGAAGUGGAUUUAUGUUCUUUACCGUCACUUUAUUCAGCUGAUAGUAAUCUAUGCAAAGCCUCAACGUUCCAUCUUUCUUCUUCACAAAUAAUACAGGUGCCCCCUAAGGUGAGUUGCUUGGUCGUAUGAACACUUUGUCUAAAAGCUCCUGUAAUUGAAUUUUCAACUCAUCCAAUUCUUUUAGGGCCAUUCUAUAUGGUGGUUGGGCUAUAGGAGACACCCCAGGCAAUAUAUCUAUGGUGAUUUCAACUUCUCUUUCUGGGGGCAGUCCUGGCAAUUCUUCCAGAAAUACGUCUAGAAAUUCCCUCAUAAUUGGAAUGUCAGAAAUUCUUAUUUUACCAUUUUUCAAAUUUAUCACAUAGGCAAGGUAUGAUGUAAAACCUUUCUUUAGUAGUUUUCUCGCAACCAUACUCGAGAUCAUAUUUGUAAAGUUGGAAAUUUUCUCACCCUUAAAGACCAUUGUUUCACCCUUAGCCCCUUGGAAGGUUACUAUUUUUGUAAAGCAGUCUAGAGGAGCCUUAUUUUUGCCCAACCAAUUCAUACCUAUAAUUAUAUCAAAAUCACUUAAUUCUAUGGGUAUUAAAUAUGCUUUUAGUUCACACCCAUUCAUGUUAAUUCCCACCCCUUCAAAUACAACAUUUGUUUCCACAGUUUCACCCAAAGGUGUCCGAAUAAUAAAUCCUUUCUCUACCCUUUUUGUUUCCUUACUCAAUUUGGCUACAUUUUUAUUUGCUAUAAAAGAGUGAGUGGCACCAGAAUCAAACAAAACAUGUAUUUGAUAGUCAUUCAUUUGCAGCAUACCUGCCACCACAUCUGAUGCUGCUCUGACAUCCUCCUGGGUCAUUUGGAAAACCCUUCCUUGAUCUCUUUCAUUUUGCACUCUGGGUCGUCUCUUAUUUGAGUUAGCUCCUGACUAAGUCGACCUUCUCGGUCUGUUUACUGUGAUAGACUGCUGAUGACUCUGACUUUGCUGCCUAUAUCUCUGAGAUUGUUUAGUGUUUAACUGGGGGCAUUCCCUUUUAAAGUGACCCUUCUCACCACAGUGAUAACAUCCUCUUCCCAAGUACUGACAGGCGUGCCUCCCUCAGUUUCGGCGGUGCGGUAGGCGGUCGGCCAAUGUCUUCAGUCGGUGGGCUAGAGGGACCGGCGGUCGGUGGGCUGGAGGGACCAACGCCAUUAAAUAUACAUCUUUUUUCCUUCUUUACUGCUGUAUGUUAGGCGGGGAAGAAAGGGGAACAAUGCCGUUCAAAACGGCACCGUUUAGCCCUUUUCUGUUUUUUUUUUUUUUGCAUGGGCUGGUUACUGUGCACAUAGUAACCGGGUUACUGUGUGUACAGUAACCAGAGAAUUAAUCUACGGGUUACUGCGCCAGUACUGCGCACAUAUUUUUUUUUUUUUUUUGUAUUUAUUAUUUUUUUAUGGGGACCCAAAAAUGGGUUACAACAGUUGCCCCCCUCUUUACAAUGCUUACGGAGCAAAGAUUUGUGCAUAGUAAGUGUUGUAAAGAAAAAAACAUUGGUCUUCCGAAACUGGUCGUCUCAAAAUUUGAUUGACCUAAAACUUGAAUCGGACCCAAAGUCCUGUGUAUGGUUGGGCUAAACUGAGAUUCCUUUCGCCAAUCCCCUUUAACCCGAAAAAAAGGAAAGAAUGUGAAGUGUGGUCUCAUUGUAAUGGGUGACCUACCCAGAAAAAUGUUGGUGAGGGCUCAAAGGCGCACUCAAAAGGAGGUAGGGUUAGAAAACGCACUACCUAAGGGAUGAGGGCUCAAAAGCGCACUCAAAAUGGAGGUAGGGUUAGAAAACGCACUACCAAAGGGAUGAGGGCUCAAAGGCGCACUCAAAAUGGAGGUGAGGGCUCAAAGACGCACUCAAAAGGAGUUGAGGGCUCAAAGACGCACUCAAAAGGAGUUGAGGGCUCAAAGGCGCACUCAAAAAGGAGGUGAGGGCUCAAAGGCGCACUCAAGAUGGAGUUGAGGGCUCAAAGGCGCACUCAAAGGAGGUAGGGUUAGAAAACGCACUACCUAAGGGAUGAGGGCUCAAAGGCGCACUCAAAAGGCGGUGAGGGCUCAAAGGCGCACUCAAAGGAGGUAGGGUUAUAAAACGCACUACCCAAGGAUGAGGGCUCAAAGGCGCACUCAAUAGGAGUGAGGGCUCAAAGGCGCACUCAAAAUGGAGGUAGGGUUAGAAAACGCACUACCUAAGGGAUGAGGGCUCAAAGGCGCACUCAAACGGAGGUAGGGUUAUAAAACGCACUACCUAAAAGAUGAUGUUGAAACAAUGAUUGUCAAUGUUGAAAAGCAAAUGCAUUAUGAUUGAUAUGCAUAUAUACUUACCUGAGAAAUAUAGGCCCCCAUUUCUUCAUGGUGUCUUUGUUUUCUCUCAAAAGUUGUAGUGUUGGUAGUAAACUUCGAUGGCUUUUCCACUUUUGCUUACUCGGGUUACAUAUUGUGAUCUUGACCUCUGGGAAGGGUUUGACGUCAUCAUACAUCUUUGUCCUUCACCCCAACAAGUAGAGUUACCAAUUUUGCCCGUCAUUUUCCUUAGAACAGGAAUCAUGGAGCCAGCCCUACCAUGUGUUUUUGAUUGCCCCCCAGCUUGAUCAUGCCCCCCAAGUGUUCAACUUGGGUUUAGUUUGGGGUGAGGAUAUGUGAAAGUAAGUUUGGGUUUUUUGUACAAUGAAAUAUUUUCAUGCAAAAUUUUUUGGAACUUCAAAGUUAUGCCAAUCACAAAAAUGAUUUUGAUAUUGGUUCAAAAUAAACUUGUUCUAAAAAUUCAAGUGAUUCCUACGGACAGGUUUCUUGAAGUGAUGAAAGCUUUUUGCUUUUGGUUUAAAGAUGAAGUGACAUCUGGUUGGUCACAAAAGGUUUAAAUUUCAAUUUGAGGGUUAUUGAGAACCGAAUUGAGUCAAAGCAUUUAUUUUAUUCGCAUGAAUAAUGAUUUGACUUGCACGAGAAAACACUGCAUAUCGAUCCAGAUUGCUUGCCUUUGAUCAGAAAGGGCUUUAUCAGGUAUGUAAUGUAGGCUUUGGCUAUUGGUUACGAAGAAAAUGGAUAUGUUGCAGGCUCAAAAAGGUGUUUAAGGGAUUUCAAGAUUAGGGAUCACUUGUGCUUGUUUCCUGACCUUUUGUCUUUUGGAUUUGUUGUUUUCAAAAUAGUCUUCAUGCCCCCCAGUGUCGGGUUUGGGCUUUUCUCUUUGUUUUCUUCGUUUUUGUUUGGUUGAGCACAAUCAUAUCAGUUGUUUGUAUGAGAAGCUCAAAUCUUUUAGAUCUUCUUUUCUUUUCUUACAUGAUCAAUUCCAGCACUCAUCUUCACUGCUUUGUCUGGAUGGUAAAAAUAACAAACUCUCUUAUUUUGCCCCCCAGUGUGGGGUGUGAUCCUAGUCAAGGUUAUUUCAAAAAAUAUUACUAGGCUCAAAAUGGGACUGCAAAGGAUAUUUUAGCCUUGUGAAAGGAUUAUCAAAGAUGGCCUUUCCUCAUCUCAAACUCAUGCAUUGAGGAUCGAUAGGUGUUGCUUUCAUGCGCGUAUGCAAAGUGAUUUAUUCAGUCAAAUAAAACUCAGCUUUUGAGUCACCUCAUAGUGUUGUUUGUCUUUAUUGUCUUUUUUUCUUUCAAGUUUUCUAGGUAUAUGUGUACCUAUUUAAGGAAUCACUUGAAUUUUCAAAAUGCAUUUGUUUUGGACAAAUAUCAACACGAUUUUUGUUUUUGUACUCACUUUGGAGGUCCCAAAAAAAAUCCUUGAAAACAUAUGAGAUUAAUGUAUGGGUUUGGAAGAAAGGAACACCAAAGGAUUCUUCAUGUUGUAGUGUUGUGAGCAAAGUUGCGCUCAAAAUGUUAUUUACAUAUAAUAACAACAAAGAAGAGUGUGAUGUGAACACAAGAAAACACAUGAUCUUAUUUCACAAGAGAAGCUCAUUAACAGAGAAAGUCUUAUUCAAAAGCAUUAACAAAAGGAAAUAACAAGGCAGGCUUCAUUCCUCUAUUUUGGCGAAUCUGUUCAUAGGCUAAACUCUUCUUAAAAGCUCUGCGUAGAGGACUCAAAGACAAUGCGGAACAACACCCCGGUCAAAAAUUCAAGCUAUCAUGCUGGACCAUUGAUGCUUUCCAAUUCCCCAAACAUUCCAUCCUAAUAUGCUUCAAGCAUGAUUAGGCAGCGGGUUCGUAUUCACAUUGGGGGUGUCUUCCAACUCUAUCCAACCAGCCUUGAUUAAUUGCAGAAGCUUUCUCUUGAAGGCGUUGCAGGUAUAGAUGCUAUGCCCAGUAAUACCGGCAUGGUAUUCACAUUUGAGUUCUGGCUUGUACCAAUUAGGAUAAGGUGGCUGCAGAGGUGUUAGAGGUUCUGGAGCUAUUUGCCCAAUGCUCAAUAGCUUUUGAUACAUCUCAUUCAGGGGUAAUGGUAGUGGAGGCAGUUGUUCUUGAACCCUUUGGAAAUUUCCAAUUUGGCUUUUGGCUUGAAAGUUUUGGGGUUUAGGUUUUUGGAUGUUGGCAAUUUGGGAUGGAGUAUGGUAAUUUUGGGAUGUAUUAUUUUUACCCAUGUAGCCAUCUUCAACAUGGUGAACCUCUUUUCUUUCGAAGCCUCUUUUCUCGGUUGGUGCAGAAAUUCUACCACUCUUGACACCUUGCUCUAUGCGUUCACACACUAUCACGGCAUCAGUGAAUUGUUGGGCUGAACUACCCAUCAUAUGUUCGUAAUAUGGUGCUUUGAGUGUGUUGGCAAAUAAAGAGACCAUCUCUUUGUCCAGAAGUGGGGGAUGUACUUGAGCAGCUAAUUCUCGCCAUCUUUGAGCAUAUUCCCUUAUGCUUUCUUUAUCCUUUUUCUCUAUAUUGGACAAACUGGUUCUGUCGGGCGCAAUGUCCAUGUUGUAUUUGUAUUGCUUGACGAAAGCAUCCACAAGAUUUUUCCAGUUGCGAAUUUUUGUGUUAUCCAAUCUCAUGUACCAACUCAAAGUUGCCCCACUUAAACUGUCUUGGAAAAAGUGCAUUAGUAGUUUUUCAUCAUGUACUACCUCAGCCAUUUUAUUGCAGUAGGACCUGAGAUGAGUCAUGGGGCAUUGUGUUCCACUGUAUUUGAUGAAUUCAGGAACACGAAAUUUCUUUGGGAUAACCACGUUUGGGACCAAACACAUCUCUGCUGCCCGUACCGGGUCAUAUAAGUCUACCCCUUCAAUGGCUUUGAGUCUGGCUUCCAGCGCCUCUAUCUUAGCUUGAUCAAUGCUAUCAGAUGACUUAGCCUUGUGGGACUCAUUAGCAGAUGCCUUCACAACUGUUGGGGAUGGUGCAGGUGUCGUUGACUGCACAAAUGUUGGAUUUUGCUGAGGUUCUUGACCAUGUUCGCUCAUUCUUUCCUCAGGCUGAACUGAAGUAGGAGCCGGAUCAAAGGUGAUCGGUUGAUUAGAAGGACCUUCAUCAGAGGUAUUUCUUAGUGUUUGCUUGAGUAAGCUAGUGAGGUGAGCCACACUUAUUUUCAGAGACUCCAACUCCUCGUGCAAAUAGGCAUCACGUUGAGCACGCUCUUCAUCUUCCAUGUUUCUUGCUCGAAGUCGGGUGUUGUAGACUUUUUGGGGACCUAUAUUUCAAUCUGACAUGUAUGCAUGUUAAAUGUAUGAACAUGUAAUCUAUAUGACGAACUCGCCCUUCGAGGGGUGACAUAUGGUCGCAACUCUUGUAUGAUGAAACAAGAAUCUUGAUUCUUGCACAAACUCUACAAUGAAAAUUUUCUGAGCGACGGUUAUUGUGUCACCCAUAAGUCUGGAGUUCAAGAAGGGCUUGCUCGGAUGCAAAACAAUGUGUACGGAGCAUACAUCCUAAAGGCAGGUUCUAAUAUUUUUAAGUGAGACAAAAGGUAGGUUUACUAUUUGGUCUCUAAAAAAGGACUCUCGUUGUCCCAGUGAUCGCCCUCGUGGAGGCAAUAUGGGGGCUUGUAGGCAGUGAGAUGGCACGUGUCCAACUAUUACCAGUCUAAGCACUCAACGAAGAGUUGGGGUUUACACAAACUUAAACCUUGACUAAAAGUCAUAAGGUAAGCUGCUAGUUCCCCCUAACCUGAAGCUUGUGUGUGCUUAAAAAAAAUUAACUAUGUGAUGCAUGAGAUAAAUAUGUACAAAAAUUAAAGCGCACAACUAAAUAUGAACAAAUAUAUAAAGAAAAUGCAUAUUUAAAAAUAAACACGCAAACCAAACAAUAAAACACAAUCAUCAACAAAAAACAAAGCUUAGUCACAAAGUCCCCAGUGGAGUCGCCAUUCUGUCGCACGUGUGCGCGGCGCGGCGAUCGUCCACCCUCAAGGAAAAAAUGGAAAAAUAUUUAUUCCUGGCAAAUAGGGAGAGAUAAGGAAUUCUUGUCUCUACAAGUGCAAAUAUGGACUGGGAGUCACCACCUAGUAUUCUGGUUACUAGGAACCCUAACUGGUCUUUAGAGAUCGGGUACGAAGACUGGUUGCGUAAAGGGAAGGUAUUAGCACCCCAACUACGCCCUACCUAAGGUAGGCUGCAUUGUUUUGUCUGAUAAAAUCUAAGGUCGUGUUGUGGUUUCUUAUUGUUCGGAAUACGCAUUACAUGUAAUGUCAUACCCCAGGUUCUAUUGUCCAAAAAAAAGAAUUAAAUAUCCGGAAUAUGCAUUACGUGUAAAGUCAUACCCCGGAUACUAAGAGAAACAAAAUAAAAUUUUUGUUGUUUUUGAAAUAUUGGCCAAUAUUCUCUUGACUUUAAUAAACUGGUUAUUAAAGCCAAAAUGCAUGCUAAAACAUUUUUUUUUGUGUAUGAAAAAAAUACAAUAUGAAUUUUUAGCUUUGAGACACUUGGCCGUAUGCACAAAAACAUUUUUUUUUCUUUUUUUAAUUUUUUGUAUUUUGUGGAAGUUUUUUUUUUUUUUACGAAAACCGGGUAUUUGAAAAAUCAGAUUUUUGUAUUUUUAACAACAUAAAAAAAUACCAUCAAAUAUUAAUCGAAAUGACAUAAAAAUUACACUAAAAAAAUUAUAAAAUACUGAAACAAAUAUUUUUGAUUUUUUUUCUUUGAAAUGGGCCGGAUCAGGCCCAAAUAUAUGGGUUGGGCCGAACCUGGCCCAAAGAAUGGGCUGGUCACUGUGCACAUAGUAACCGGGGGGUGCUGUACACACAGUGACCACAGAAUUAAUUAGCAAUGCACAGUAACCGGGGGUUACUGUGCACACAGUAAUGUGAAUUAAUUAGUGCACAGUAACUAGCUAAUUAAUUCUGCAGGACGUAAACGUUCUGCAUGAAUUGAAGCAAAAAAAAUGACGGGAAAGGUAGGACGUUACCUGGAGCUGUUGAUGCUGGCAGCAGCUGAUGCAGCAGGGGUGGCGGCGGCGGCGCUGGCGGUUCGCGGUGGCCGGUGGUUUUUCUUCUCUCUCUCUCCUCUGUUUUUUCCCGUUUUCUUCUCUGCCUCUUCCCUUCUUCUUCUCUGCCUUCUCUCCUCUCUUCUCACUCUAUUCUCCCUUCUGUUACCUCUUCUGUUCCCUCUCUCUGUCUGUCCUCCUUCCUCCUCUCUUCUCCUCCAUUUAUAGCCCGUGAGCAUGCGUUUUUUUUUUUUUCAUCGUGGGGUCAUGCGGCGGCUGGUCGGGCGUGGCUGUCCGGGCGUGCCUCCCUCAGUUUCGGCGGUGCGGUAGGCGGUCGGCCAAUGUCUUCAGUCGGUGGGCUAGAGGGACCGGCGGUCGGUGGGCUGGAGGGACCAACGCCAUUAAAUAUACAUCUUUUUUCCUUCUUUACUGCUGUAUGUUAGGCGGGGAAGAAAGGGGAACAGUGCCGUUCAAAACGGCACCGUUUAGCCCUUUUCUGUUUUUUUUUUUUGCAUGGGCUGGUUACUGUGCACAUAGUAACCGGGUUACUGUGUGUACAGUAACCAGAGAAUUAAUCUACGGGUUACUGCGCCAGUACUGCGCACAUAUUUUUUUUUUUUUUUUUUUGUAUUUAUUAUUUUUUUAUGGGGACCCAAAAAUGGGUUAUGGGUUACAACACCAAGUACUGACAGGUUUUCCACUUAUGACCUUCUCCUCGACAUAUAUAGCAUCGUCCAGGAGAAACCAUACAACUCCCGGGGUGUCUUUGUUCACAUUGAGCACAUCAAGGGUAGCCAAUUUCAAUAUGAUCAUUAUGCCCCUUUGUAGCUAUAGCCCUGGAAUGGGUUUGACCACUUCCUGACCUCCCACCGAUAUCCUUUUGGAAACUAGUUGACGUCCCCCCUUUCUUUUUGAAUUGAAGGAAUUGUUCGGCUCUACCUUUCUUUGGAAGUGGUGGCCUGCCUAAAAGUUCCAUAUCCUUUCGUUUUCCUGCACCCCUAUGACUCUAUUGGCCUUCUUCCAUACAAGCCUCCAAGGCCUGUGCUGCUUCAAUCAGUUCCCUUACUGUCCUGAAUUGCAAAGAAAUCAACCCCUGCUUCAAUUCUUGUCUGAAGCCAUCCCUUAACUUUUCUAUCAUGUGUUGUUCUGAUGGGACAUAAUGUGGUGCGAAUAGUGAGAGGUCAUGAAAUCAUCUCUCAUACUCAAGUACUGACAUUCCUCCUGUCUCAAGGCUAGGAAUUCUUGUUCCUUCAUCUUCCAAUGAUAUUUGGAGUAAUAGUGAUUCUCAAACUCUAUCUUGAAAUCAUCCUAGGAUAGGGUUUCUGUAGCCCUCCUCAACUGAACUGUCUCUCACCAAGUCAUAGCACCGUCUAAUAGUAAUUGAGUAGCACAAUCUACCCGUAAAUAAUGUGGUAUCUGAAUUUGAAUCAUGGUUUUUUCCACCUUUCUAAUCCACCUUCCCGCCACUUCAGCAUUAUAUUCAUCUAAGUAGGGUUCACAACCCAUUUCUCUCAUACUUUUCACCAAACGAACUAGUUGUACCACGUCAUUGGUAGCUAUAACUGCUUCUAAAACGGUUUGUAUGAUGGGUGCUGUUGCAAUAUCGCGGUCGCACAAAUUAAUUACCCUAGCUUCAAACACAACACACAAGAUAGUAUAGAGCAAGCAAGGGGUCAAUCCCAUGAGGAAGGUUCAAGUCAGAUUUUUAUGCUAGAUGAUAUGCAAUUUGGGGGGGGGGGGUUGGACGUUAUCUAGGCUAAAGCAAAAGAAAACAGAAAACUAUCAAACAAAUUUAAUAAAAUCAGAAAAUUAUCAAGAGAACAAACCUUAGUCGCAAGCACACAUCCACCUAUAGAAAUCAGAACUGAUCAUGGAAACGAAACAUCAAUUUAUAUUUUGAAUAUUUAUCUCUUCUUAACAUUGGUUAGUUAACGGAUCCGCCGUAUAACUAACGCUAACCAUCAAACAACCAUAGUGUCCGCACUAGUAAUUUAAUUCAAUGGCAGCCUUAAGAACUAGAUAAGUUUAUUAAUCAAGAAAACAUAAUUGUCCGUAGUCUAUUUUGAUUUGAUUGAAUGUUCUCCCUAAGAUUAAUAAUGUAGAUCCACCACAAUUAUUAAACUCAGUUGCUUCACAAGUUCAUAUACCAUAACUCCGGUUUUGAUAUCAAACUUAGCAAUAGAUUGUCUACAAUAAAAACUUAGAGUCCGCUCUAGCAAUUAAAAUAAACAAUCAUAGGAAAAAAAGCAUAGGAGAACAAACAUAUUCAUCAUAUAAACUGAAAAGAAAAGGUAAAAUAAAUCUCACAGUUCUUAAAAUCCGAAGGUUUCCAUGUCCUUGCAACCAAGAAAACGAGUUUAGCCUUGCAUGUUUGUUGAAUAACUAAUCAAAAAGAUGGAGGAAUGCAUGAUUUCGGGUUUUUAGAGAAGGGGGGGCAUUUUUCUCCUCUUGGCUAAUUGCCCCCUUCUCUUCUCUCAUUCUUUUUAUAUCAUAUGAAACCCUAGUCUCUAUUUUACAAAAUAAUCCUCUCUUAAGUAGACUAUUUACAUUUAAGUACUUCAAUAAUUAUUUUUCCUAAAAAAGAAGAAAUAGUCUAGCAUGAAAUAUUCAAGCUUUGACUUAGAGGAGCUAAAUUGCUAAAAUAAAAACUUGGAUAUUGGUUUAGAUGCUCCGGAACGUAAUUUGGACUCGUUUCUUCACGAAACCUAUUUGCUGGCAGAAUUCAGUUGUCAUCUUUGAAAAAUCAUAUCUACCUCAUAUGACAUCGUUUUUUGCUGAACUUUGGAGCGUUUAUAGGUCUUUGAGUCAGGAAUCCAACACAAUUUAGUUUUUAUCAAUUGGACUUUUGUAGCUUUAGAUAUUCAAGUCGGAAUGACCAAAGGUCAACACUGGCAGAUUGCGAGAUUUGACUUUGAAAGCUGCGAUUUCCAUGCUCUUCCUUAUUUUAUUGUCUUGCUUAGAUAUCCAGAAAGGUAUGGAUGUUAGCUUUUUAAUUCCACUAGAAUCACUUCAUUUUGACUUUUAGAGCUCAUGCUCUGCACAAAACAUCGAUUGAAGGUCAAAUAUGUCAAUUACCUCCAAUUUACUCCUUUUUGCAUCUUUCAUCCAAAAGUGCCUUCAAAACAUAAAACAAAGAAUAUCAAGGCAUUUUAUAUAUAAAACAUAUGCAAAACACUAGUUAAGUGUGGGUGAAACUAUCGAAUAAUAUGGUUGCAUCAGGUGCAGGUGGGGGUGCUGGCAUAGGAGUGGCAGCAUUAACCAUACCUUCCAUUACUGCUUUGACUAACUGGGCCAGGAACAUCGGAUCAACAUAAGAAACAUAUGGCCUUGCAGGUGUAGUCUAAGGGGGCUCCUCUACUCGUUCCCGUGGGGCUGAAAUGGUCGGUUGAACAUCCCCAGUUUGCCUUGAUGCCUGUCUAAUUUGAGGCCCCGUCGAUUCUUCAUGCCCUGCUUGAGUCGAUACUACCGAUGCAUGUGAAGCAUUAUCUUCCAAAGGGCUCUCUUCUUGCCCCUCAGAAAAGUCUAUAUCUCUAUUCCCCCUCCUUGUAGAGGAUAAAUCUAUUCUAAUCUCUUGACGGGUACGUACCAUCCUGCAAUAAAUUAAUGAACAUCAACAACCUCUUUUGAUUUCUUACCCGAACCUAUACCACGACUCUGAUACCAACUGUAACAGUCCAAAGUGUACGACUUGAUUAAUGUUAAAAGAUCCCAACAUAUCCUCUUUAUUUGAGGGUAGUUUUGUUUUUCAUUUCCAAAAAUUUAGCAGAGUUUCGUUUGCAUUUUGGACAUCUCAAGUUAUCGACUUUUAUCAAUUUACUCAAUCAACCCAUCAUCACAAGAUCUUAUAAUUCUGGACCUUAUAUCAAACCUCAAAAUUCCACACCUCAUACAAUCCACACAAUAUAUAUAUCCUACGAGCAAGUUCAAUAUGAACAUAGUCCGACACAUCAUAUCAUAAAAUUUAAAAGAAAAGGAAUACUAACAUGCAAAGAAAGUAUUUACAAUAUAAGUGUUCUUAAAUAUUUCAAAAGGGUUAAUUACAAGAUAACUAAAAUACUACAUGCUCAGCUAAACCUUUGUAAAUACAUCAAGGCAUACACAAAAGUAUACUACAUAAACAUGUUAAUUCCUUUUUGUUUUAAGUUAAAUAUUUACAUAAGCUUCACAAUGUAGAGUCCUAAACUAUUGAUCUUCCUGGAUAUUUGAUGGACCUGUUACAUAAAUAAACAUACCAUUAUGUUGAUAAAGAAUAUAUAUAUGCUCAUGUAAUGAAUACAAAUGAAGUAUUAACUUUCUAUCGGAUCCAUAAGAAUUCUAACAGAGAACUUAUAUUUUGCUUGUAAGUCUUUUAAACCCAAUUAACACUCAUUUGUACACUCUUAAUUUGAAUACUCUAAUUUACUUGCAUGAAAUGGGUGACCUUGCAAAGUUUAAUCUUGUAAUUCAUUUCCCGGCAUUCCUAUCACGGAUGCCAUUAGCCGAAGCUAAUCUUGUAAUUCAUAUCCCGGUAAUCCUAUCACGGAUGUCAUUAGCCGAAGCUAAUCUUGUAAAUCAUCUCCCGACAAUCCUAUCACGGAUGCCAUUAGCCGAAGUUAAUCUUGUAUUUACGCUAGACUUUAUUUACAUUGAACACGACAUUUAUUGUAAUUGCAUUCACCAGAAGAAUUUUAAAUUGUAUAAGAGCAAAUAGGAGGAAAAUCACGAACCUGCUUUGCUUGUCUCGCAACCUCCCCUAACAGAAGAUCCAAUCCUGGUUGCUCCUCCUGAAUCAUAAGGAAGUUUUUGGUUAUGAUUCCUUCAAGCCGAUACUAUAGAGAAUCCAUAUUCGUCCAUUACUUAUAUGUUACUUUCUAUGCAUGUUCAUUUCCUCAUAAUAUCAUACAUACAUAUAUCAUGUAUAUUUUCAGAGUUAGUCUCUCAAUGUGCAAGUGUUCGUAUGACACAAUUCUUUUAUAUUCUUAUAUAUAGUAUUCACGUGAAAGUCUACUAUUAGUGUCUAAUUUUCAACUAUUACUGUCCAAUUUUUAAUUGUUACUGUCCAACCGUUACAGUCUAAUUUUGAACUGUUACUGUCUAAUUUUCAACUAUUACUGUCCAACCGUUACUGUCUAAUUUUGAACUGUUACUGUCCAAACACUCAUCAAAUUUUUAACUAUAUCUAAAGUUCUAAAACUUCAUUUUAAGUGAGAUUAAUCUCGUUAGAAAGCUAAGACACGAGGCUACAAGUUCUCUGAAGGGAGGAGAACCCACUUUUGCCUCCAAGAUAGUCAAAAUUGCUCAUUAAAUAGUUAGUCGUACUGCCCUACAUAAUCAGUCACGACUCAGUCUCAGUUGGUAACCCAUAACUAGAGUUCUACAUCUCCAAAUUGAGCAAGACCAGUUUCCUUGGUUAGCUAACAUUCAAAUCUACAAUUUCUAUGAGAAACCCGAUCCUAUCCCCUCGUCCUCCUACUCAAAAUCUCAUCGAAUGUUAGGAGACAAGUCUAUCCAGGUUCGUCUCCCCCCUCCCCUUACACAAUACUUUCAUAAACUACAUACCACACACAUAAAUGAACUUAAUCUCAACAAUAAGUACUUUUUCCCCAAUUUAUGUCUAAGAACCCUAACCUAUGAUUCAAUAUCAAGGCAUCAAUUCUUUAUCGAAUUAAAAAAAAUAAAUUUUUUUUAAGAUCAUGUUUAGAAUACCUUACUCGGUACAAAUUACGAUUUUGAUCUUCAACCAGUAGAAGAUUUUCAACUCCCUCCUUUCUUUUCUUCUUGGUAAUCAUUUGCUCUCAAGUGUUUAUCCCAUCUAUAAGCUCUUAAUCUUGCAUGGGUUCUUGAAAUUUUAGUGUUUCUAUCUUGAUUUCUCAAGAAGGGGUAUAAAACUCCCUAUCUUCUCUCCUUAUGGUUCCUAUAGAUUUUUUUGGUGAGUAGAGAGUAUUGAUACUCUAUAUUUUCCUUUAUUUGCAUUUAGGCCCCCAUUUUUAUUUAAGUGUAUUAUUCUCUUCAAUUAAAUCCAACCCUUAACAGUACCAGGUUUAUUAUAAUGUCUCUAAUUAUUUCAUCCGGAAAUUUAUAUUCAAAAAUUUCUGAAUUUCUAUUUUUAUUUAAUGAUAUGCAUGAAUUUCUUCACUUUUACUUAUUUAUUAUAUAUAUAAUUUUUUUAUCCCGGGGUUUACAAAUAUAUUGGUGGAGAUGUGGGAUCCAUAGGUGUCAUUAUCUGGGGAGCCAUAUGUGGCGGCAUUAAUGGGGCCAUAGGUGCUGGCAUACCUUGGCCAAUGUUUGAUGUCUCACCAUGAUAUCCAAGAUUGUUCAUAAGAUAAUCUUUCAUAGAAUCCAUUUGUUGUUUCAUUUCAAAAAUAAAAUCAUCUCUUUUCUUUAUCCCGCUUUGUUUUUCUUUAUCUCUUUUUGCAAUGCUCGAUAAGAUGAAUUAGGAUAUGGUGACUUCACCGAGUAGGAAUGUGAUGAAGAACUUGUAUUCACUAUAGAUUUUGGCAUACGAGGUGCACAUUAUACCCUACCCUAUUGUAACUCCUCCUGAAGCCACACACCAAGCUGCUCCAUCAAAUGAAGGAUGAUUUUCCCGAUUAGUUCCAUACUUUGAAAUCAUCUCCUUAUCAUUUUCCUAAAAAUAAAAUACAUGCAAUAAUAAAUUCAUUUGAAUGUCAAAUAAUAUUUAAGUUAUAUAAAUAAAUAAAUAAAAUUACAUACAAUCACUUUUUUAGACUUGCUGUCUACAAAGAUGCUAGACUGCUUAGUACUCUGAUGCAAAGCUGAAAAGACAUCAUCUCAUGAAGGUUUUUUUUCUACCAAGUUGCUCUUGCUAGGAAUUAUGAAAGAACAUGUCCUUCAUGAACUCUCACAAGUCUCUCACCAUUUUAACGAUCUCUUGUAUUGUUCUGUGUAAUUCAACACCUUCGAUUCAGACCUAGAUUUCAGGUAGAAAUCUUGAUGUGAAAAACAAAAUUAGGGUUCUUUUUAUAUAUACCUUUACAGAUUUGUUUUGAAGUGAAAAUGGAACAUAAUUAUUCAGACUACUAAAAUUAUGGAACUAGUAAGGCCUUAAUGGCAUUGAACUAGACAUGGGAGAGAUUUAAAUGCAUGGUCCCUGCAUUCUUGAUUAUGUUUAAAAACGUCCUCGUCCCUUUUUACCUCACUUUUUCUAGUUUUGAUCAAGUCUUUCCAUUUCGUUAUGUUUCGUCUGGAAUGGCCGAGACAUUUCAUACGUAUUCAAAAAACAGAACAAUUUUCAUCUCAUUUCAAAUCUCGGUCCGUUCUGAAUUUUUUGGCUAAAUUUCAGCCGGAAUGUUUUGCUUUUAUUCCACAUAUUCCAUUCUAGUAUUGAAAAGCUAUUGAAUCAAAUUGAACCUGGUUCAAUUUAAUUAAUUAAACCACCCAAGUAUAAAAAAAAAAUUUAUUACUAUUUUCAAUAAAAAUGAUAUUAAAAAUAAUAUUAAAAAUUAUUAUUACUAUUUUCAUUUACAAUGAUAUUAAUUUUUUAAAAUUAGAUUUAUCACUAAUAUAUAUGGUUUAUAUUCAUGUUUUUUUUUUCAUAUUUAUACUAUGUAGGAAUUUGAGCAAAACAAGGGAUGCUUUAGAUCCCAUUAGUCUUGAUAACGUUGACUUAACUUUAUAUUUAAAAUAUUUGUGUUAAAACAUUUCUUUCAUAAUAUUUUGAUAUUUUGUUUAAGUUGAAUUACUUUAAGUUAAAGAUCUAUUUAAUUUUGAUUAUUUAGAAAUAUUUUAAAAUUUGAAAUUUUAUUUGUUUGACAUUGUGUUUGUAUUGCAUAAUUUAUAAUUAAUUUAUCUUGAAUUUUAAUGAUGUUUGUUGAAUAUGUAUAUAUGAACAAUAUAACUCCAAAACGGCAUGCCGAAACACUCUGAAACUGAAACAUUCCAUUCCAAUUAAAAAAAAACCCACCUACCGGAACAGAAUUGACAACCUUGGUUUUGAUUGUAUUUCCAAUUCAAAUCGUAAUUUAUAUGUAUGAAAAGAACUUUUUUUGCCAUCAUUUUUUUUUCUUCUGCGUUCCAUUAUUAUUUCUUUUCAAUUUUUAUAAUUUUUAUUGUAUAAUUCAAAUUUUGUUAGUGUUAUGAUGUUGUAGACUUCACGAUAAUAUUUAACAUCAUUAACAUGUAAUGAAGAUAAAAAUCAAACCUGCAAAGAUUAAAAUUAGUGCAAAAACAUGUAGAACAUUUUAAACACAAAACCAAGAAUACGUAACUUAAUUGAACAAUUAAGAGUUGGAAUACCUGAAUUUUAAUCCCUUGUCCUAAAAAAAUAAAUAAAAAGUGGAAUUAGGGGUAGCAAUAGAUAACUAACAGAGUUUUAUAUCAGGGAUGAUAAUUUAAUCUGAACUCGAUAGAUACCAACCUGAUUUGAAUGAAUGGAUGAAUAUUUUUUGUACUUGAUGGAUAAUGGAUAGAGUAUGGAUGUUGUGAAACACGACCUGAAACCUAUCCAAACCUAAAGUGGAAUAUAUUUGUAUAUUAUAUAAGUAUAUUUGUAAAAUACUUAGAUUUUUUAAUAGAAUAUGAUACAUACAUAUCUUGGUAUUGACAUAAUACACACUUAUAUAUAAACUAUUUUAUUUUUUAUUGAUUAAUAAAUAAUAGUAGAUAAUAAAUAACUAUUUGAUACCUGAAAUCCGAUGGAUAAUGAGUAGAGUAUGGAUAUCAAGAAAUCCAACCCGCGAGUAUGCAUUGUCAUCCCUGCUUUAUACUAUCUAUACCCGAAUUCAAAUCUAAAAUAACUACUCGAGCCUGAACGGGUAUGGGUUUUUGAUACCCGAACUUGAAUGCUAUAUUUUACAGCUAUUAGUACAUAAUUAGCUUGCCAUACAUGUAAUUUUCUCAAACUUUAAUGUUAUUUAUUUAUUUCAGGGCAGGUUCGGGGAGAUCAAUAUCCAUACUCUACGCGUACCUGACUUUUUGCAUUUGAAUUUUACUCGAAACUCGAUUGAGUCUAAAAAUUUUCUAUUUGAAUCGAUUCGAGUUAGUAUUCAUAGGUAAAACUGUCAUCAUAAGUAUAAUCCAAAUACCAUAAUCUUUGGCAAUGAUAUGCUUUGCUAUUAGUUCUACCAUGACAACUAACAAAACUAUCACACCCAACAAAAAAAGCUAUGAAAUCCUGUUAAAGAAUUAUCUCAAUCCAAUAAUUUAAGUUGUUAUGUAAGGUUCCAAGAUAUAAUUUAUAUUAUUCUCUAACAUCCCCCCUCAAGUGAAAGUCAUUUGGACUCGAAACUUGCACAAACUCAUAUUAUACUGUGCUUACUUUUAUAGAAUAAAUAGGAAUGGUAAGAUUCGAAUUUAUAAUUACUUGAUCAUCAAGACUCUGAUAACAUGUCAAAUAAUCAUUUCAACCUAAUUACUUAAAUUGUUAGAUAAAAUUUCUAAAUAAAUCUGAUAUUAUUCUAUAAUAAAUCUGAUAUUAUUUGUGUAAGGGCAUAUUAGUGCCCUCACAGAGAAGCUAAGUAGAGUGGCGAGAACCGGACGACGGAAAGAGUUGGAAGAAAAAAGGCUAGAAGCUAGAUGCUAGAGCAUGAAGCUAUGGACCAAUCUAUGAACUUUUAAGAGCAAGUGGAGACGAACAAUUCUAUCGGAGAACCCCCAAGUUUCAGCUACGCAGAGCAAGUUGUUGUUUGGAGCCCCUUCUACUUUAUAAAUUCUGAAGAGGCAAGAAAAAGAAGACUUUCAUCUUUUUUCGAGAGACAGAAGGCAUGCUAAUGAAACUAGGGGUGGGGGAGUUUGUAGGUGAAGACCACAGAUGAAGCACACACGGGGAAGGAAGAAUUAGAGCUUCGUGACAAACCUAAGAUUUUUGAAUUGUUCUCUUUCUUUUCAUGGUCAUGCAGCAGAUUAUCCUACGUAAACUCACCAUCACCACAAACAAGGAAGAGAUAAGAGAGCUGUUAGUCAGCAAAAUCUGCUGCAACUUGGUCUCCCUUGUUCUAUAAAUGGCUGCUGAUGUCGAGACUCAAAAAUCACUUCAAUUUCAAGAUCAAGAUUGAGUUUAUACACUAAUUCUUGCAUUAAUAUCACUACUACUGCCAUUGAGACCAUGGCCUACAAGACAUUUCUCUUUGUUUCUCUCGUGAUUGCUGCAAUAUUGGCAGCCCCAGUUGCUGAAGCUCAGCUUGGGCUUAUUGGCGGUCUUCUGGGUUUGAUCCGCAUCCAAGGGACUCUAUUUUGCACUGCCGAUGGCAAUAUUGGUGCUAAUGGCACAGCAACCCCUGUUUUCCCUAGUAUGCUUGCCCUGAUUCCUCUUCCUUUUCUUUUUUUUUUUCUUUUUUUUUUCUUUUGAUCGAUAGUAAAGUAUCCUCGGACCAGAUUGAUUGUCAUGAUUACAUAGUUACCAUUCAUCACAUACGACAUCGUCGAAUGCAAUUUGACUUUGUUCUUCUUCUUAUCUUGCUUAUAAAGUUGUAAUUACAGUAACGGGUUUUUUCUUGCAGAUGCUCUCGUGCAGUUGCAAUGUGGAGGAAAUGUGGUUUCUACAUCAACCACCAAUGGAUCUGGGAUGUUUUCUAUUUUGUUGGAUCCUCUAAAUUAUAUUCUUUCCUCGGUAUUGAGCGACUGCAACCUGAAGGUCGAUACACCGCUGAUCAGCUGCAACUCGAGUCUCCCUGCUGUCGGUGGCCUCCUAUCACCCUUACGGUUCAUCGGGAACACUGCUCUAGGAGCCCUCCUGAGUGUUGCAAACAUCAUCCCUGCCGGAUUCCGAUUCGUGCCUUUAAAUUAAGGAGACCACUGUAGCUGAAGGCGGCAUUAUUAUUAUUAUUAGUAUGGCCAUUGCUAUGUACUACUUUAUAUGAAUAAGGCCGUUGUAUUAUUUGUGUGUACUGUUUAUUGUUUUUUCUUUCUUCCCAAGGAAUAAAGGUCAUGAUUGGCCACGCAUCAUCUAUAUGUAAUAUUUUAGCGAGUCUAAAUUAUGAGGGGCCUUACUCAAAAAAUGUAGCAAGUAAUUCGAUGCAUAUAAAACUAAAAUUUGUUGCUAAAAACAUUUAGCAACAAAAUUAGCAACAUAGAAAGUAUUACAUGCAGAUUUUUUUGUGUUGAUUUUUCAAUAAUGGAUUAGUCCGUUGCUGAUUUAUCAACAAUGAGUAAUUUAUUGCUCACAAUAGAUUAUUAAUAAAUCAGAAGAAUAUGUUGCUGGUUCGAUCUGUGAAUGAACCAUGGAUUUCCCAUUGAAUUAUUUAUAACCAGCAACGGAAAAUCCGUUGCUGAUGAUAUAGUUUUUAUUAAAUUAAUUUAUAAUUUUUAUCAAAACGACUUUUAAUUUUUUUAUUAAUUAUUUAUGGAUAUUUUAAAAGUUGUAGAAUAUAAAAAAAAACAUUAAUUAAUAUUUAAAAUUACAAUACAAUAAUAAAUGGAAUAAAAAUAAAAUUCAUAAUAUAAUUAAAAAUUUAGUUAAACUUGCACUGAUGCAAAUAAAUCAAAAUACAAUAAAAAGAUAGAAUUAUGGUGCUUGUUGUGGAGAUAAUUCAUGAUACUGUGGAUCAACAUAAGAUGAAUUAUGAUAUGAUGGUCGAGGUGUAGGUCAAUAUUGUAAGAGUCUGAAGUGUACAACUCGAUUAAUGUUAAAAGAUCCCAACAUAUCCUCUUAUUUGAGGGUAAUUUUUUUGUUUUCAUUUCCAAAAAUUCGGCAGAGUUUCAUUUGCAUUUUGGACAUCUCAAGUUAUCGACUACUAUCAAUUUACUCAAUUAACCCAUCAUCACAAGGUCCCAUAAUUCCGGACCUUAUAUCAAACCUCAUAAUUCCACACCUCAUACAAUCCACACAAUAUAUAUAUAUAUAUAUAUAUAUAUAUAUAUAUAUAUAUAAGUUCAAUAUGAACAUAGUCCAACACAUCAUAUCAUAAAAUUUAAAAGAAAAGGAAUACUAACAUGCAAAGAAAGCAUUUACAAUAUAAGAAGUGUUCUUAAAUAUUUCAAAAGAGUUAAUUACAAGAUAACUAAAAUACUACAUGCUCAGCUGAACCUUUGUAAAUACAUCAAGAUUUACACAAACAUAUACUACAUAAACAUGUUAAUUCCCUUUUAUUUUAAGUUAAAUAUUUACAUAAGCUUCACAAAGUAGAGUCCUAAACUAAUGAUCUUCCUGGAUAUUUGAUGGACCUGUUACAUAAAUAAACAUAAUUAUAUUGGUAAAGAAUAUAUAUAUAUAUAUGCGCUCAUGUAAUGAAUACAAAUGAAGUAUUAACUUUCUAUCGGAUCCAUAAGAAUAUUAACAGAGAACUUAUAUUUUGCUUGUAAGUCUUUUAAACCCAAUUAACACUCAUUUAUAUACUCUUAAUUUGAAUACUCUAAUUUACUUGCAUGAACUGCAUCACCUUGCAAAGUUUAAUCUUGUAAUUCAAUUCCCGGCAAUCCUAUCAUGGAUGCCAUUAACCGAAGCUAAUCUUGUAAAUCAUCUCCCGGCAAUCCUAUCACGGAUGCUAUUAGCCGAAGCUAAUCUUGUAUUUACGCUAGAUUUUAUUUACGUUGAACAUGACAUUUAUUGUAAUUGCAUUCACUAGAAGAAUUUUAAAUUGUAUAAGUGCAAAUAGGAGGAAAAUCACGCACCUCCUUUGCUUGUCUCGCGACCUCCCCUAAUAGAAGAUCCAAUCCUGGUUGCUCCUCCUGAAUCAUAAUGAAGUUUUUGGUUAUGAUUCCUUCAAGUCGAUAUUAUAGAGAAUCUAUAUUCAUCCAUUACUCAUAUGUUACUUUCUAUGCAUGUUCAUUUUCUCAUAAUAUCAUACAUACAUAUAUCAUGUACAUUUUAAGAGUUAGUAUCUCAAUGUGCAAGUGUUCGUAUGACACAAUUCUUUUAUAUUCUUAUAUAUAGUAUUCACGUGAAAGUGUACUAUUAUUGUCUAACUUUAAACUGUUACUGUCCAAUUUUGAACUAUUACUGUCCAAACACUCACCAGAUUUUUAACUAUAUCUAAAGUUCUAAAACUUCAUUUUAAGUGACAUUAAUCUCGUUAUAAAGCUAAGACACGAGGCUACAAGUUUUUUGAAGGGAGGAGAACCCAAUUUUGCCUCCAAGAUAGUCAAAAUUGCUCAUAAAAUAGUUAGUCCUACUGCCCUACAUAAUCAGUCACGACUCAAUCUCAGUUGGUAACCCAUAACUGGAGUUCUACAUCUCCAAGUUGAGCAAGACCAGUUUCCUUGGUUAGCUCACAUUCAAAUCUACAAUUUCUACGAGAAACUCGAUCCUAAUCCCCUCAUUCUCCUACCCGAAAUCUCAUCUAAAGUUAGGAGACAAGUCUGUCAUCUUUACUGGUAGGAAAAGGGCAUAUUUAGUUAGUCGAUCCACAAUGACCAAGAUUGCAUCAUUUCCCCUCUUUCCUUUGGGUAGUCUCGACACAAAGUCCGUUGUGAUCAUCUCCCACUUCCACUUAGGGAUUGGUAAUGGUUGUAACAGCCCUGCCGGUUUUUGGUGUUCUACUUUUACUUGUUGGCAAAUACUACAUUUUGCCACGUAACUAGCCACUUCUUUUCUUAUAUUUGGCCACUAGUAGUACUGCUUCACAUCCUUGUAAAUCUUAGUACUACCUGGAUGUACAGUGAACUUAGACUCAUGAGCUUCUCGUAGUAACUUUUGUUUAAGGGCUUUGUUGUCCGGCACAUAUAUACGUCCCCCUAACAUCAUUAUUUCAUCAUCACCCAUUCAAAAAAGAGUUUCACCUCCCGAUUCCAGUUUGAUUCUCACUUUUAACACCUCACCAUCAUGCUGUUGUGCCUUUAAUAUUUGCUCUCGAUAUCCUGACUUCACCCUUAGUUGAGCCAUUAAGGAUCCUUCCGGACUCACAUUUAAUAUUGUCCCCAACCUCUUUAGCUCAAUCAUAGUUUCCUCAUUCCAAGUCAUUGGUCCACCCCUAAUCACCUUGUCUUUACGGCUGAGAGCAUCCGCGACUACAUUCGCUUUUCCUGGAUGGUAAUCUAUAUUACAGUCAUAGUCUUUAAUUAAUUCUACCCAUCUCCGUUGUCGCAUAUUCAACUCCUUCUACGACAUCAGAUAUUUAAGGCUCUUAUGAUCCGUGAAAAUUUAGACCCGGGAUCCGUAUAAGUAAUGCCUCCAUACUCGUAAAGCAAAAACUACUGCUGCCAAUUCUAUGUCAUAAACUGGGUAAUUGACUUCAUGAGUCUUCAGUUGUCUCGAAGCAUAGGCAACUACUUUUCCAUGCUGCAUUAGAACACAACCCAAUCCUUUUCUUGAGGCAUCAUUGUAGACUACAAAGCCUUCUGUUCCGGAUGGAAGGAUUAGCACGGGGGUAGUAGUAAGCCUCCUCUUCAAUUCUUGAAAGCUCUCAUCGCACUCCUUUGACCACUCCCAUCUUAUGUUCUUCUUGGUGAGUCGUGUUAAUGGAGUUGCUAUCGUUGAAAACCCUUCGAUAAAUCUUCUAUAAUACCCUGCCAAUCCGAGAAAACUACAAAUUUCAGUUACCUUAGUAGGCCUUUCCCAUCUCAAAAUUGCUUCCACCUUUUGAGGACCCAUAAAAAUGCCUUUUGAAGACACUACAUGCCCUAAAAAGGUAACUUAUUUUAACCAGAAGUCACAUUUAUCCAACUUGGUAUACAACUAGCGGCUCCUCAGAGUCUGUAGUGUCUGUCUCAGGUGUUGUUCAUGCUUCUCAUAGGAUUUGGAGUAAACCAAGAUGUCAUCGAUGAAUACAACAACAAACUUAUCAAGGUAUGGUUGGAAUACUCGGUUAAUUAAAUCCAUAAAAAGUGCUGGAGCAUUAGUUAAUCCAAAGGGUAGCGCCAAGAACUCAAAGUGUCCGUAGUGAGUUUUGAAGGUAGGUUUUGGCACAUCUUGCCCCUUGAUUUGUAUUUGGUAGUAUCCUAAUCUUAAAUCAAUAUUUGAGAAUACUUUGGCACCCUCAACUGAUCGAACAAAUCAUCUAUCCGCGGAAGUGGAUUUCUGUUCUUUACCCUCACUUUAUUCAGCUGAUAGUAAUCUAUGCAAAGCCUCAACGUUCCAUCUUUCUUCUUCACAAAUAAUACAGGUGCCCCCUAAGGUGAGUUGCUUGGUCGUAUGAACCCUUUGUCUAAAAGCUCCUGUAAUUGAAUUUUCAACUCAUUCAAUUCUUUUGGGGCCAUUCUACACAAUGGUUGGGCUAUAGGAGACACCCCAGACAAUAUAUCUAUGGUGACUUCAACUGCUCUUUCUAGGGGCAGUCCUGGCAAGUUUUCCAGAAAUACAUCCGGAAAUUCCCUCAUAAUUGGAAUGUCAGACAUUCCUAUUUUACCCUUUUUCGAAUUUAUCACAUAGGCAAGGUAUGAUGUACAACCUUUAUUUAGUAGUUUUCUCGCAACCAUACCCGAGAUCAUAUUUGUAAAGUUGGAAAUUUUCUCCUCCUUAAAGACCAUUGUUUCACCCUUAGCCCCUUGGAAGGUUACUGUUUCUGUAAAGCAGUCUAGACGAGCCUUAUUUUUGCCCAACUAAUUUAUACCUAGAAUUAUAUCAAAAUCACUUAAUUUUAGGGGUAUUAAAUAUGCUUUUAGUUCACACCCAUUCAUGUUAAUUCCCACCCAUUCAAAUACAACAUUUGUUUCCACAGUUUCACCCAAAGGUGUCCCAAUAAUAAAUCCUUUCUCUACCCCUUUUAUUUCCUUACUCAAUUUGGUUACAUUUUUAUUUGCUAUAAAAGAGUGAGUGGCACCAGAAUCAAACAAAACAUGUAUUUGAUAGUCAUUCAUUUGCAGCAUACCUGCCACCACAUCUGAUGCUGCUCUGACAUCCUUCUGGGUCAUAUGGAAAACCCUUCCUUGAUCCCUUUCAUUUUGCACUCUGGGUCGUCCCCUAUUUGAGUUAGCUCCUGACUAAGUCGACCUUUCCGGUCUGUUUACUGUGAUAGACUAUUGAUGACUCUGACUUUGCUGCCUAUAUCUCUAAGGCUGUUCAGUGUUUAACUGGGGGCAUUCCCUUUUAAAGUCCCCCUUCUCACCACAAUGAUAACAUCCUCUUCCCAAGUACUGACAGGUUUUCCACUUAUGACCUUCUCCUCGACAUAUAUAGCAUCGUCCAGGAGAAACCAUACAACUCCCGGGGUGUCUUUGUUCACACUGAGCACAUCAAGGGUAGCCAAUUUCAAUACGAUCAUUAUGCCCCUUUGUAGCUAUAGCCCUGGAAUGGGUCUGACCACUUUCUGACCUCCCAUCGAUAUCCUUUCGGAAACUAGUUGACGUCCCCCCUUUCUUUUUGAAUUGAAGGAAUUGUUCGCCUCUACCUUUCUUUGGAAGCGGUGGCCUGCCUAAAAGUUCCAUAUCCUUUCGUUUUCCUACACCCCUAUGACUCUAUUGGCCUUCUUCCAUACAAGCCUCCAAGGCCUGUGCUACUUCAAUCAGUUCCCUUAUUGUCCUGAAUUGCAAAUAAAUCAACCCCUGCUUCAAUUCUUGUCUGAAGUCAUCCCUUAACUUUUCUAUCAUGUGUUGUUCUAAUGGGACAUAAUGUGGUGCGAAUAGUGAGAGGUCAUGAAAUCGUCUCUCAUACUCAAGUAUUGACAUUCCUCCUGUCUCAAGGCUAGGAAUUCUUGUUCCUUCAUCUUCCAAUGAUAUUUGGAGUAAUAUUGAUUCUCAAACUCUAUCUUGAAAUCAUCCUAGGAUAGGGUUUCUAUAGCCCUCCUCAACUGAACUGUCUCUCACCAAGGCAUAGCACUGUCUAAUAGUAAUUGAGUAUCACAAUCUACCCGUAAAUAAUGUGGUAUCUUAAUUUGAAUCAUGGUUUUUUCCACCUUUCUAAUCCACCUUCCCGCCACUUCAGCAUUCUGUUCAUCUAAGUAGGGUUCACAACCCAUUUCUCUCAUACUUUUCACCAAACAAACUACUUGUACCACGCCAUUGGUAGCUAUAGCUGCUUCUAAAACGGUUGGUAUGAUGGGUGUUGUUGCGAUGUCGCGGUCGCACAAAUUAAUUACCCUAGCUUCAAACACAACACACAAGAUAGUAUAGAGCAAGCAAGGGGUCGAUCCCACGAGGAAGGUUCAAGUCAGAUUUUUAUGCUAGAUGAUAUGCAAUUUGGGGGGGGGGUUUGGACGUUAUCUAGGCUAAAGCAAAAGAAAAUAGAAAACUAUCAAACAAAUUUAAUAAAAUCAGAAAAUUAUCAAGAGAACAAACCUUGGUCGCAAGCACACAUCCACCUAUAGAAAUCAGAACUGAUCAUGGAAACGAAACAUCAAUUUAUAUUUGAAUAUUUAUCUCUUCUUAACAUUGGUUAGUUAACGGAUCCGCCGUAUAACUAACCCUAACCAUCAAACAACCACAGUGUCCGCACUAGUAAUUUAAUUCAAUGGCAGCCUUAAGAACUAGAUAAGUUUAUUAAUCAAGAAAACAUAAUUGUCCGCAGUCUAUGUUUGAUUUGAUUGAAUGUUCUCCCUAAGAUUAAUAACGUAGAUCCGCCACAAUUAUUAAACUCAGUUGCUUCACAAGUUCAUAUACCACAACUCCGGUUUUGAUAUCAAACUUAGCAAUAGAUUGUCUACAAUAAAAACUUAGAGUCCGCUCUAGCAAUUAAAAUAAACAAUCAUAGGAAAAAUAAGCAUAGGAGAACAAACAUAUUCAUCAUAUAAACUGAAAAGAAAAGGUAAAAUAAAUCUCACAGUUCUUAAAUCCGAAGGUUUCCGUGUCCUUGCAACCAAGAAAACGAGUUUAGCCUUGCAUGUUUGUUGAAUAACUAAUCAAAAAGAUGGAAGAAUGCAUGAUUUAGGGUUUUUAGAGAGGGGGGGUUUUUCUCCUCUUGGCUUGCCCCCUUCUCUUCUCUCAUUCUUUUUAUAUCUAGAAACCCUAAUCUCUAUUUUACAAAAUAGUCCUCUCUUAAGUAGACAUUUACAUUUAAGUACUUCAAUAAUAUUUUCCUAAAAAGAAGAAAUAGUUUGCAUGAAAUCUUCAAGCUUUGACUUAGAGGAGCUAAAUUGCUGAAAUAAAAACUUGGAUAUCGGUUUAGAUGCUUCGGAACGUAAUUUGGACUCGUUUCUUCACGAAACCUGUUUGCUGGCAGAAUUCAGUUGUCAUCUUUGAAAAAUCAUAUCUCCCUCAUAUGACAUCGUUUUUGGCUGACAUUUGGAGCAUUUAUAGGUCUUUGAGUCAGGAAUCCAACACAAUUUAGUUUUCAUCAAUUGGACUUCUGUAGCUUUAGAUAUUCAAGUCGGAAUGACCAAAGGUCAACACUGGCAGAUUGCGAGAUUUGACUUUGAAAGCUGUGAUUUCCAUGCUCUUCCUUAUUUUAUUGUCUUGAUUAGAUAUCCAGAAAGGUAUGGAUGUUAGCUUUUUAAUUCCACUGGAAUCACUUCAUUUUGACUUUUAGAGCUCAUGCUCUACACAAAACAUCGAUUGAAGGUCAAAUAUGUCAAUUACCUCCAAUUUACUCCUUUUUGCAUCUUUCAUCCAAAAGUGCCUUCAAAACAUAAAACAAAGAAUAUCAAGGCAUUUUAUAUAUAAAACAUAUGCAAAAAACUAGUUAAAUAUGGGUGAAACUAUUGAAUAAUAUGGUUGCAUCAGGUGCAGGUGGGGGUGCUGGCAUAGGAGUGACAACAUUAACCGUACCUUCCAUUACUGCUUUGACUAACUGGGCCAGGAACAUCGGAUCAACAUAAGAAACAGAUGACCUUGUAGGUGUAGUUUAAGGGGGCUCCUCUACUCGUUCCCAUGAGGCUGAAAUGGUCGGUUGAACAUCCCUAGUUUGCCUCGAUGCCUGUCUAAUUUGAGGCCCCGUCGAUUCUUCAUGCCCUGCUUGAGUCGAUACUACCGGUGCAUGUGAAGCAUUAUCUUCCAAAGAGCUCUCUUCUUGCCCCUCAGAAAAGUCUAUAUCUCUAUUCCCCCUCCUUGUAGAGGAUAAAUCUGUUCUAAUCUCUUGACGGGUACGUACCAUCCUGCAAUAAAUUAAUGAACAUCAACAACCUCUUUUGAUUUCUUACCCGAACCUAUACCAGGGCUCUGAUACCAACUGUAACAGUCCAAAGUGUAUGACUUGAUUAAUGUUAAAAGAUCCCAACAUAUCCUCUUUAUUUGAGGGUAAUUUUGUUUUUCAUUUCCAAAAAUUCAGCAGAGUUUCGUUUGCAUUUUGAACAUCCCAAGUUAUCGACUUUUAUCAAUUUACUCAAUCAACCCAUCAUCAGAAGAUCCUAUAAUUCCAGACCUUAUAUCAAACCUCAAAAUUCCACACCUCAUACAAUCCACACAAUAUAUAUAUCCUACGAGCAAGUUCAAUAUGAACAUAGUCCAACACAUCAUAUCAUAAAAUUUAAAAGAAAAGGAAUACUAACAUGCAAAGAAAGUAUUUACAAUAUAAGUGUUCUUAAAAUUUCAAAAGGGUUAAUUACAAGAUAACUAAAAUACUACAUGCUCAGCUGGAACCUUUGUAAAUACAUCAAGGCUUACAUAAAAGUAUACUACAUAAACAUGUUAAUUCCUUUUUGUUUUAAGUUAAAUAUUUACAUAAGCUUCACAAUGUAGAGUCCUAAACUAUUGAUCUUCCUGGAUAUUUGAUGGACCUGUUACAUAAAUAAACAUACCAUUAUGUUGAUAAAGAAUAUAUAUAUGCUCAUGUAAUGAAUACAAAUGAAGUAUUAACUUUCUAUCAGAUCCAUAAGAAUUCUAACAGAGAACUUAUAUUUUGCUUUUAAGUCUUUUAAACCCAAUUAACACUUAUUUGUACACUCUUAAUUUGAAUACUCUAAUUUACUUGCAUGAAAUGGGUGACCUUGCAAAGUUUAAUCUUGUAAUUCAUUUCCUGGCAUUCCUAUCACGGAUGCCAUUAGCCGAAUCUAAUCUUGUAAUUCAUAUCCCGGUAAUCCGAUCACAGAUGUCAUUAGCCGAAGCUAAUCUUGUAAAUCAUCUCCCGACAAUCCUAUCACGGAUGCCAUUAGCCGAAGCUAAUCUUGUAUUUACGCUAGACUUUAUUUACAUUGAACAUGACAUUUAUUGUAAUUGCAUUCACCAGAAGAAUUUUAAAUUGUAUAAGAGCAAAUAGGAGGAAAAUCACGAACCUGCUUUGCUUGUCUCGCAACCUCCCCUAACAGAAGAUCCAAUCCUGGUUGCUCCUCCUGAAUCAUAAGGAAGUUUUUGGUUAUGAUUCCUUCAAGCCGAUAUUAUAGAGAAUCCAUAUUCAUCCAUUACUCUCAUAUGUUACUUUCUAUGCAUGUUCAUUUCCUCAUAAUAUCAUACAUACAUAUAUCUUGUAUAUUUUCAGAGUUAGUCUCUCAAUGUGCAAGUGUUCGUAUGACACAAUUCUUUUAUAUUCUUAUAUAUAGUAUUCACGUGAAAGUCUACUAUUAGUGUCUAAUUUUCAAAUGUUACUGUCCAAUUUUCAAUUCUUACUGUCCAACCGUUACAGUCUAAUUUUGAACUGUUACUGUCUAAUUUUCAACUAUUAUUGUCCAACCGUUACAGUCUAAUUUUGAACUGUUACUGUCCAAACACUCAUUAGAUUUUUAACUAUAUCUAAAGUUCUAAAACUUCAUUUUAAGUGAGAUUAAUCUCGUUAGAAAGCUAAGACACGAGGCUACAAGGUAUCUGAAGGGAGGUGAACCCAGUUUUGCCUCCAAUAUAGUCAAAAUUGCUCAUUAAAUAGUUAGUCGUACUGCCCUACAUAAUAAGUCACGACUCAGUCUCAGUUGGUAACCCAUAACUAGAGUUCUACAUCUCCAAAUUGAGCACGACCAGUUUCCUUGAUUAGCUAACAUUCAAAGCUACAAUCCCCUUGUCCUCCUACUCAAAAUAUCAUCGAAAGUUAGGAGACAAGUCUAUCCAGAUUCGUCUCCCCCCUCCCCUUACACAAUACUUUCAUAAACUACAUACCACACACAUAAAUGAACUUAAUCUCAACAAUAAGUACUUUUUCCCCAAUUUAUGUCUAAGAACCCUAACCUAUGAUUCAAUAUCAAGGCAUCAAUUCUUUAUCGAAUUAAAUAAAAUAAAUUUUUUUAAGAUCAUGUUUAGAAUACCUUACCCGAUACAAAUUACGAUUUUGAUCUUCAACCAGUAGAAGAUUUUCAACUCCCUCCUUUCAUUUCUUCUUGUUCAAUUUCUUGGUAAUCCUUUGCUCUCAAGUGUUUAUUCCAUCUAUAAGCUCUUAAUCUUGCAUGGGUUCUUGAAAUUUUAGUGUUUCUAUUUUGAUUUCUCAAGAAGGGGUAUAAAACUCCCUAUCUUCUCUCCUUAUGGUUCCUAUAGAUUUUUUUGGUGAGGAGAGAGUAUUGAUACUCUAUAUUUUCCUUUAUUUGCAUUUAGGCCCCCCUUUUCCUUUAAGUGUAUUAUUCUCUUCAAUUAAAUCCAACCUCAAUAGUACCAGGUUUAUUAUAAUGUCUCUAAUUAUUUCGUCCGGAAAUUUAUAUUCAAAAAUUUUUGAAUUUCUGUUUUUAUUUAAUCAUAUGCAUGAAUUUCUUCACUUUUACUUAUUUAUUAUAUAUAUAAUUUUUUUAUCCCGGGGUUUACAAAUAUAUUGGUGGAGAUGUGGGAUCCAUAGGUGUCAUUAUCUGGGGAGCCAUAUGUGGCGGCAUUGAUAGGGCCAUAGGUGCUGGCAUACCUUGGCCAAUGUUUGAUGUCUCACCAUGAUAUCCAAGAUUGUUCAUAAGAUAAUCUUUCAAAAAAUCCAUCUGUUGUUUCAUUUCAAAAAUAAAAUCAUCUCUUUUCUUUAUCUCUUUUUGCAAUGCUCGAUAAGAUGAAUUAGGAUAUGGUGACUUCACCGAGUAGGAAUGUGAUGAAGAACUUGUAUUCACUAUAGAUUUUGGCAUACGAGGUGCACCAUAUACCCUACCCUAUUGUAACUCCUCCUGAAGCCACACACCAAGUUGCUCCAUCAAAUGAAGGAUGAUUUUCCCGAUUAGUUCAAUACUUUGAAAUCAUCUCCUUAUCAUUUUCUUAAAAAUAAAUACAUGCAAUAAUAAAUUCAUUUGAAUGUCAAAUAAUAUUUAAGUUAUAUAAAUAAAUAAAUAAAAAUACAUACAAUCACUUUUUUAGACUUGCUGUCUACAAAGAUGCUAGACUGCUUAGUACUCUGAUGCAAAGCUGAAAAGACAUCAUCUCAUGAAGGUUUUUUUCUACCAAGUUGCUCUUGCUAGGAAUUAUGAAAGAACAUGUCCUUCAUGAACUCUCACAAGUCUCUCACCAUUUUAACGAUCUCUUGUAUUGGACUGUGUAAUUCAACACCUUCGAUUCAGACCUGGAUUUCAGGUAGAAAUCUUGAUGCUAUUUUAUGAUGUGAAAAACAAAAUUAGAGUUGUUUUUUUAUAUACCUUUACAGAUUUGUUUUGAAGUGAAAAUGGAACAUAAUUAUUCAGACUACUGAAAUUAUGGAACUAGUAAGGCCUUAAUGGCAUUGAACCAGACAUGGGAGAGAUUUAAAUGCAUGGUCCCUGCAUUCUUAAUUAUGUUUAAAAACAUCCUCGUCCCUUUUUACCUCACUUUUUCUAGUUUUGAUCAAGUUUGUCCAUUUCGUUCUGUUUUGUCUGGAAUGGCCGAGACAUUUCAUACCUAUUCAAAAAAAAGAACAAUUUUCAUCUCAUUUCAAAUCUCGGUCCGUUCCGAAUUUUUUGGCUAAAUUUCAGCCGGAAUGUUUUGCUUUUAUUCCACAUAUUCCAUUUCAGUAUUGAAAAGCUAUUGAAUCAAAUUGAACCUGGUUCAAUUUAAUUAAUUAAACCACCUAAGAAUAAAAAGCUUUUUUUAAUUACUAUUUUCAAUAAAAAUGAUAUUAAUAAUAAUAUUAAAAAUUAUUAUUACUAUUUUCAUUUACAAUGAUAUUAAUUUUUUAAAAUUAGAUUUAUCACUAAUAUAUAUGGUUUAUAUUCAUGUUUUUUUUCAUGUUUAUACUAUGUAGGAAUUUGAGCAAAACAAGGGAUGCUUUAGAUCCCAUUAGUCUUGAUAACGUUUGUUGUAACCCAUUUUUGGGUCCCCAUAAAAAAAUAAUAAAUAAAUAAAUACAAAAUGUGCGCAGUACGGGUCGCAGUAACCCGUAGAUUAAUUCUCUGGUUACUGUACACACAGUAACCUGGUUACUAUGUGCACAGUAACCAGCCCAUGCAAAAAAAAAAAAACAGAAAAGGGCUAAACGGUGCCGUUUUGAACGGCACUAUUCCCCUUUCUUCCCCGCCUAACAUACAGCAGUAAAGAAGGAAAAAAGAUGUAUAUUUAAUGGCGUUGGUCCCUCCAGCCCACCGACCGCCGGUCCCUCUAGCCCACCGACCGAAGACAUUGGCCGACCGCCUACCGCACCGCCGAAGCUGAGGGAGGCACGCCUGGACAGCCACGCCCGACCAGCCGCCGCAUGACCCCACGAUGAAAAAAAAAAAAACACAUGCUCAUGGGCUAUAAAUGGAGGAGAAGAGAAGAGAAGAGAGGAAGAGGAAGGAAGAAAGCAGAAGAAGAAGAAGCAGAGAAGAGAGUCCAACAUCACCACCGCAGGUAGCGUUUCCCGUCGUUUUUCUGUUCUGCAUGCAGAUGAAAGAUUAAUUAGCGAGUUACUGUGCUGUGCACAGUAACUCGCUAAUUAAUUCACGGUUACUGUGCAUGUCAUUUUGAUUAAUAUUUGGUGGUAUUUUUUUUUAUGUUUUUAAAAAUACAAAAAUCUGAUUUUUAAAUACCCGGUUUUCGUCAAAAACUUCCACAAAAUACAAAAAAAUUAAAAAAAAAAAUGUUUUUGUGCAUACGGCCAAGUGUCUCAAAGCUAAAAAAUUAUGUUGUAUUUUUUCAUACACCAAAACAAAAUGUUUUAGCAUGCAUUUUGGCUUUAAUAACCAGUUUAUUAAAGUCAAGAGAAUAUUGGCCAAUAUUUCAAAAACAAGAAAAAUUUUAUUUUGUUUGUCUCUUAGUAUCCGGGGUAUGACUUUACACGUAAUGCAUAUUCCGGAUAUUUAAUUCUUUUUUUUUUUUUUGGACAAUAGAACCUGGGGUAUGACAUUACAUGUAAUGCGUAUUCCGAACAAUAAAAAAAAACCACAACACGACCUUAGAUUUUAUCAGACAUUAAAACAAUGCAGCUUACCUUAGGUAGGGCGUAGUUGGGGUGCUAAUACCUUCCCUUUACGCAACCAGUCUCCGUACCCGAUCUCUAACGACCAGUUAAGGUUCCUAGUAACCAGAAUACUAGGUGGCGACUCCCAGUCCAUAUUUUCACUUGUAGAGACAAGAAUUCCUUGUCUCUCCAUUUUUUCUUAAGGAAUAAAUAUUUCCGAUUUUUUCCAUUGAGGGUGGACGAUCGCCGCGCCGCCGCACACGUGCGACAACUUUGACUUAACUUUAUAUUUAAAAUAUUUGUGUUAAAACAUUUCUUUCAUAAUAUUUUAAUAUUUUGUUUAAGUUGAAUUACUUUAAGUUAAAGAUCUAUUUAAUUUUGAUUAUUUAGAAAUAUUUUAAAAUUUGAAAUUUUAUUUGUUUGACAUUGUGUUUGUAUUGCAUAAUUUAUAAUUAAUUUAUCUUGAAUUUUAAUGAUGUUUGUUGAAUAUAUAUAUAUGAACAAUAUAACUCCAAAACGGCAUGCCGAAACACUCUGAAACUGAAACAUUUCAUUCCAAUUAAAAAAAAAAACCCACCUACUGGAACAAAAUUGAUAACCUUGGUUUUGAUUGUAUUUCCAAUUCAAAUCGUAAUUUAUAUGUAUGAAAAGAACUUUUUUUCCAUCAUUUUUUUUCUUGUGCGUUCCAUUAUUAUUUCUUUUCAAUUUUUAUAAUUUUUAUUGUAUAAUUCAAAUUUUGUUAGUGUUAUGAUGUUGUAGACUUAACGGUAAUAUUUAACAUCGUUAACAUGUAAUGAAGAUAAAAAUCAAACCUGCAAAGAUUAAAAUUAGUGCAAAAACAUGUAGAACAUUUUAAACACAAAACCAAGAAUACGUAACUUAAUUGAACAAUUAAGAGUUGGAAUACCUGAAUUUUAAUCCCUUGUCCUAAAAAAAAAAAAGAAAGUGGAAUUAGGGGUAGCAAUAGAUAACUAGCAGAGUUUUAUAUCAGGGAUGAUAAUUUAAUCUGAACUCGAUAGAUACCAACCUGAUUUGAAUGAAUGAAUGAAUAUUUUUUGUACUUGAUGGAUAAUGGAUAGAGUAUGGAUGUUGUGAAACACGACCUGAAACCUAUCCAAACCUAACGUGGAAUAUAUUUGUAUAUUAUAUAAGUAUAUUUGUAAAAUACUUAGAUUUUUUAAUAGAAUAUGAUACAUACAUAUCUUGGUAUUGACAUAAUACACACUUAUAUAUAAACUAUUUUAUUUUUUAUUGAUUAAUAAAUAAUAGUAGAUAAUAAAUAACUAUUUGAUACCUGAAACCCGAUGGAUAAUGAGUAUGGAUAUCAAGAAAUCCAACCCGCGAGUACGCAUUGUCAUCCCUGCUUUAUACUAUCUAUACCCGAAUCCAAAUCUAAAAUAAUUACUCGAGCCUGAACGGGUAUGGGUUUUUGAUACCCGAACUUGAAUGCUAUAUUUUACAGCUAUUAGUACAUAAUUAGCUUGCCAUACAUGUAAUUUUCUCAAACUUUAAUGUUAUUUAUUUAUUUCAGGGCAGGUUCGGGGAGAUCAAUAUCCAUACUCUACGCGUACCUGACUUUUUGCAUUUGAAUUUUACUCGAAACUCGAUUGAGUCUAAAAAUUUUCUAUUUGAAUCGAUUCGAGUUAGUAUUCAUAGGUAAAACUGUCAUCAUAAGUAUAAUCCAAAUACCAUAAUCUUUGGCAAUGAUAUGCUUUGCUAUUAGUUCUACCAUGACAACUAACAAAACUAUCACACCCAACAAAAAAAGCUAUGAAAUCCUGUUAAAGAAUUAUCUCAACCCAAUAACUUAAGUUGUUAUGUAAGGUUCCAAGAUAUAAUUUAUAUUAUUCUCUAACAUCCCCCCUCAAGUGAAAGUUAUUUGGGCUUGAAACUUGCACAAACUCAUAUUAUCUUGUGCUUAAUUUUAUAGAAUAAAUAGGAAUGGUAAGAUUUAAAUUUAUAAUUACUUGAUCAUCAAGGCUUUGAUAACAUGUCAAAUAAUCAUUUCAACCCAAUUACUUAAAUUGUUAGAUAAAAUUUCUAGAUAAAUCUGAUAUUAUUCUAUAAUAAAUCAAAUAUUAUUUUUGUAAGGGCAUAUUAGUGCCCUCACAGAGAAGCUAAGUAGAGUGGCGAGAACCGGACGACGGAAAGAGUUGGAAGAAAAAAGGCUAGAAGCUAGAUGCUAGAGCAUGGAGCUAUGGACCAAUCUAUGAACUUUUCAGAGGAAGUGGAGACGAACAAUUCUAUCGGAGAACCCCCAAGUUUCAGCUACGCAGAGCAAGUUGUUGUUUGGAGCCCCUUCUACUUUAUAAAUUCUGAAGAGGCAAGAAAAAGAAGACUUUCAUCUUUUUUCGAGAGACAGAAGGCAUGCUAAUGAAACUAGGGGUGGGGGAGUUUGUAGGUGAAGACCACAGAUGAAGCACACACGGGGAAGGAAGAAUUAGAGCUUCGUGACAAACCUAAGAUUUUUGAAUUGUUCUCUUUCUUUUCAUGGUCAUGCAGCAGAUUAUCCUACGUAAACUCACCAUCACCACAAACAAGAAAGAGAAAAGAGAGCUGUUAGUCAGCAAAAUCUGCUGCAACUUGGUCUCCCUUGUUCUAUAAAUGGCUGCUGAUGUCGAGACUCAAAAAUCACUUCAAUUUCAAGAUCAAGAUUGAGUUUAUACACUAAUUCUUGCAUUAAUAUCAGUACUACUGCCAUUGAGACCAUGGCCUUCAAGACAUUUGUCUUUGUUUCUCUCGUGAUUGCUGCAACAUUGGCAGCCCCAGUUGCUGAAGCUCAGCUUGGGCUUAUUGGCGGUCUUCUGGGUUUGAUCCGCAUCCAAGGGACUCUAUUUUGCACUGCCGAUGGCAAUAUUGGUGCUAAUGGCACAGCAACCCCUGUUUUCCCUAGUAUGCCAGCCCUGAUUUCUCCUCUUUUUCUUUUUUCUUUUUUCUUUUGAUCGAUAGUAAGGUAUCCUCGGACCAGAUUGUCAUGAUUACAUAGUUACCAUUCAUCACAUACGACAUCGUGGAAUGCAAUUCAAGAAAUCUUUGGUGUCAAAACCUUGAAAUCUGAGACCCCUUAAUAACGUGUGUGUGUGUCAGAUUAAUAUAUAAGAUCUGAAGAUUUCAAGAGUUGAUCUAGCUUUCGGGGUUGUCGGCCUUAAUAGCAAUCUUGUUAUAUAGAAAAAAAGAAAUAAAAAAGUUAAUGUCUAUUUUCACAAAUCAUAAAGUCUCACAAAUUGAAUGACUAAUCUAAUAAUAAUUACAGUUUGUUCUUCUUCUUAUCUUGCUUAUAAAGUUGUAAUUACAGUAACGAGUUUUUUCCUGCAGAUGCUCUCGUGCAGUUGCAAUGUGGAGGAAAUGUAGUUUCUACAUCAACCACCAAUGGAUCAGGGAUGUUUUCUAUUUUGUUGGAUCCUCUAAAUUAUAUUCUUUCCUCGAUAUUGAGCGACUGCAACCUGAAGGUCGAUACACCGCUGAUCAGCUGCAACUCCAGUCUCCCUGCUGUGGGUGGCCUCCUAUCACCCUUACAGUUCAUCGGGAACACUGCUCGAGGAGCCCUUUUGAGUGUUGCAAACAUUAUCCCUGCCGGAUUCCGAUUCGUGCCUUCAAAUUAAAGAGACCACUGUAGCUGAAGGCGACAUUAUUAUUAUUAUUCUGCCAUUGCUAUGUACUACUUUAUAUGAAUAAGGCUGUUUGUAUUAUUUGUGUGUACUGUGUAUUGUUUUUUCUUGCUUCCCAAGGAAUAAAGGCCAUGAUUGGCCAUGCAUCAUCUAUAUGUAAUAUUUAGCGAGUCUAAAUUAUGAGGGGC
rnacentral:lncRNA from 1 species